GAAAUGCGAUAAGUAGUGUGAAUUGCAGAAUUUAGUGAAUCAUCGAAUCUUUGAACGCACAUUGCGCCCUUUGGUAUUCCUUAGGGCAUGCCUGUUCGAGCGUCAUUUAACCUCCUCAAGCUCUGCUUGGUGUUGGGCGUUUGUCCCGCCUUGUGCGCGGACUCGCCUUAAAAUCAUUGGCGGCCUUUGGAUUCGGCUCGAGCGCAGCACAUCGCGUCUCGGCCCGGCCCGCUGGCGUUCCAGUAAGCGCAACUUUAUUUUGACCUCGGAUCAGGUAGGGAUACCCGCUGAACUUAA
rnacentral:misc_RNA from 1 species